CUGGGGUACUCGAGUGGCGAACGGGUGAGUAACACGUGGGUGAUCUGCCCUGCACUUCGGGAUAAGCCUGGGAAACUGGGUCUAAUACCGGAUAGGACCAUCGUUUAGUGUCGGUGGUGGAAAGUUUUUUCGGUGUGGGAUGAGCUCGCGGCCUAUCAGCUUGUUGGUGGGGUAAUGGCCUACCAAGGCGUCGACGGGUAGCCGGCCUGAGAGGGUGUACGGCCACAUUGGGACUGAGAUACGGCCCAG
rnacentral:rRNA from 1 species